GUGAGAUCCUAGGCCAGAAAGCUUCGAGCAGAAAUGACACCAUCUCUCUCAUAUUUUCAAAGGGGCAUCAUACUUUACCAUUGUGGUGUGAAUGAAAGUAUCUGAAAAAGGCGAUUACUUAAGAAGAUCCCUAUUUCAGAGGCGUUAAAAUGUGAAAAUGUCUUAGAAUCAAAAUACGUUAUUUUGCUUCAAAUGCUCAUCUCCCUCUCCUAAAAGCCCUUGGAAGUGAUGAUUUGGCUGAUUGGCGCUUCUGCUCUGGCUGAGAGCUACUAGAGAAGUCCUGUACUGUUCUCUGACCUCACUCUCACCUACAGAAAGAAGGUUUGUAGCCUUAUCAGCACAGCGUUGGGAUUAAGAAGACUGAUAACAGUGCCUGACAAUUUGCCUACUAAAUGUUAUGUAUUACCAUCACCACCACCACCACGAUGACCACCACCACCACCAUCAUCAUCAUCAUUAUCAGUUGGUGAAACUGAAGUUGAUUCCUUCUCCUUUUCCAGUAUUUUGAUCUCUGGAAGUAUUGCAUUCCU